rnacentral:rRNA from 1 species
UACGUAGGGUGCAAGCGUUAAUCGGAAUUACUGGGCGUAAGGCGUGCGCAGGCGGUUGUGCAAGACCGAUGUGAAAUCCCCGGGCUUAACCUGGGAAUGGCAUUGGUGACUGCACGGCUAGAGUGUGUCAGAGGGGGGGUAGAAUUCCACGUGUAGCAGUGAAAUGCGUAGAGAUGUGGAGGAAUACCGAUGGCGAAGGCAGCCCCCCUGGGAUAACACUGACGCUCAUGCACGAAAGCGUGGGGAGCAAACAGG